UACAGAGGUGGCAAGCGUUGUUCGGAAUUACUGGGCGUAAAGGGCGCGUAGGCGGUCUUGUAAGUCUUGUGUGAAAUCCCUCGGCUUAACUGAGGAACUGCACGGGAUACUGCGAGACUUGAGAUCGGGAGAGGGAAGCGGAAUUCCGGGUGUAGCGGUGAAAUGCGUAGAUAUCAGGAGGAACACCGGUGGCGAAGGCGGCGACCUGGGUCGAGACUGACGCUGAGGCGCGAAAGCGUGGGGAGCAAACAGG
rnacentral:rRNA from 1 species